CCCGUCUCAGGGUCGCACCUGGAGGGUUCCCAGUACUCUGCCAGUCUCGGCUAAGGGAGGGAGAGUCGAGCAGAGGCUUAUCCUUUCCAUUUCUAGGUCGGGCAGUGGCUAGCGAGUGGAAGGUGAUCUGCUACAAGU